GACAGAGGAUGCAAGCGUUAUCCGGAAUGAUUGGGCGUAAAGCGUCUGUAGGUGGCUUUUAAGUCCGCCGUCAAAUCCCAGGGCUCAACCCUGGACAGGCGGUGGAAACUACCAAGCUGGAGUACGGUAGGGGCAGAGGGAAUUUCCGGUGGAGCGGUGAAAUGCGUAGAGAUGUGGAGGAACACCGAUGGCGAAAGCACUCUGCUGGGCCGACACUGACACUGAGAGACGAAAGCUAGGGGAGCGAAUGGG
rnacentral:rRNA from 1 species